CCCUGCCUCAACCUCUGUCGACCUCUGCGCGGAGUCCCCCACGCUCUUCACAGGGAGAGAGAAGUGAGCGGGCUGUGAACCUGCACAGGCAACAAGACAGGAUUUUGGCCAAACCCGCUUGACAGGUUUUCGAUUCUCCCAGCCAGGAGCAGAAAGGAGGCAGAGACUGCCCUGAGCCGCCAGGCGGGUUCUGCCAUCUCGCAGAAAGUGGCCGGACAGGUUGGGUCUGAAGCCACAUAGAGUUGGGAUUGUUUCCUCAUAAUCACUGUGAGGCUGGGCUGCAGGAGCCAAGCUGGUUAGCACUGAGAAUCCAGUUUGGUGCCUGUGACACGGAGGGCCCGGGCGGGGAAGGGUGGGGGGCUUGCAGGGGUGCCUGGGUCGGGGGCUGCAGGUGGGAGUGAGCAAAUGUGCUGUCUCGCCACCUCGGGACAGGUGGUAGGGCCUCUGACACAGAGUGGUCCUUCCUGCUGUUCACAGCUCAGCUCACCGUGGGCUGACCAUAGAUUCUCGUUGAAAUCCUAACGCCCCAGGCAAUGAUGUUAGGAGGCGGGGCUUCUGGGAGAUGGCAAGUUCGUGAGGCUGCAGCUCUGCUGGGGGAUCAGUGUCCUUCUACAAGCGGCUCCAGGGAGGUCCCUUGCCCCUUCCACCAUGUGAGGACCCGAGAUGGUGCCGUCUAUGAACCGGGAAGUGAGUCCUCUCCGGACGUGGAACAAGUUGGUGCCUUGAUUUUGAACUUGCAGCCUCCAGGUGAGCCGCUGCUUGGGGUGAGCAUGCUUCCUGCUGGAUGCUUCUCUAUGUAAGCACCUGCCUGAGUGUCAGCCCUCUUAAGGUGAACCGCUCCGUGUCAUUCGUACAUUCACAAGUUUGUGCCGCCAUCAUCGUGAUCGGAUUCCAAAACAUUUUCAUCACCUCCAAGAAAGCCUUGUACCUGGCAGCAGUCACUGUCUCUAUGGAUUUGCUUAUUCUGGACAUUUCAUAAAAAUAGAAUCAAACAGCAUUUGGCUCUUCGUGUCUGGCCUGUUUCUCUGAGCACGAUAUUUCGAAGAUUCAGCUGGGUCUCGCUCCUGUUCCUGGCUGAAGCUGAAUAAUAUUCCAGUGCACGGCUGGACCACAGUCAUCAACUGACGGACACUUGGUGGUCUCACAUUUCCACUGGUGUGAAUAGUCCUGCUGUGAACAUGCGUGUGCGAGAUUUUGGUUGAACACUUGUCCUCAGUCCUCUUGGGGCAGUGCCAGCCUUGGCAGACGGGCCGGACAGAGGAGGGAUGAUGGCUCAGGCUGGCAGGGGCUGCCACGGGGCAGCGAUGGCCACCUCGAGCCUGGCCAGUGCUUCUGGACUUCCUCUCUGCUGACUUUGUUCCCUGGCUAGAAACAGUUGUGGCAGCGCUCCCAGACCGGGCGUCUGCACGGAGUGGCCUCAGCUUCCUUGAGCUGUGGGAAUUUAACG
rnacentral:lncRNA from 1 species